rnacentral:lncRNA from 1 species
GUGUUCAACCCUCAGUCUCCUUCUUCGCCCAGGGUGGGAACAGUGAGAUAGUUGGAGCCUCUCCUGUUAACUGGAAGGAACUGGGCGUUGCUGAACACAAAGCCAAAAACUUGACCUGGGCUGAGGAAUGGGAUCCGGGCAGCUGUGCCCCUCAGAGCAAGGCUGGCUGCCAGCUCUCAGGGCAUCUGGUGACUGGGGAGGAAUUCCUCUGCUUGGACAACAAGCUUUCUAUUCUGUUCACUGCCUCCUGCCCUGAUUCCUCACCUGCUGUUUCAGAGUGUUCUUCGGUUAACUCCACCUCUCACUGAAUUUUGCAAUUUGCUGUCAACUUAACCUUUCCCUGGCUCUGUCUGUUUGGAAUGGCGUUUCUCUGCAAAGUCGAAAGCCAACCAAGAUGAAGUUUUCUUUAACUCGCCCCCCUCCCUACUCCCGGGGUUCCUGGAGCUGACCCUUUUCUGACCUACCUACAGGGAAGGCUACAUCUGCCCACCAUGUAAGUGCCACUCAGCAACCCAGAAUUUUCAGUUUGGGCUGCUCAGAAUCACCUAGACUCUAGGUCCUAGAGGCUGGCGA